CAAGUAGACCGGAUGACCGCUGCAGCAUCUUUUUGCUGGAGAGGAAAGUCCGAGCUCCGCCAGGCAGGACACUGGGCAAUUCCCAGGAGGGGUGACCCUACGGAAAGUGCCACAGAAACAUACCGCCCGCCUGAGGCGGGCAAGGGUGAAAUGGUGAGGUAAGAGCUCACCGUCGGCCAGGUGACUGGACGAACGGGCAAACCCUGUCCGGAGCAAGACCAAAUAGGGGGUUAAUGGAGCGCCUGGAUCUGGACCCCGGGUUGGUCGCUCGAUCCCGGCGGUAACGCCGGGGCUAGAUGGAUGGUCAUCACCCCCGCAAGGGGGAACAGAACUCGGCUUAUAGGUCUACUUGGCCA
rnacentral:RNase_P_RNA from 2 species